CUCAGAUCACACUAGAACACGUAAAACUCAAGCCCCCCACAAUGCAGGUGAAAAAUUGAGUCCAACCCGGAAGUGACAAAAAUUGCAGUUCCACCCUCAUCCACUGGGGGCUGGUGUCAGAAGCGAGCAAAUCCUCAUUGACUCCCAUGUUAAAAAUACCAAUUUCUUAGCAGAAAUAAACAUGUUUACAGCCUGGUACCAAAACAUGUUUUUUUUUUAAUGAUCUAGUUUACACUCAUGACAACUCUGAGGUGGGUGAAUUUUUUCUCACUCUUCUGUUUAAGUGUAUUAAAAGCCUAAAAUUCUGUAUAAUUAAUGAGCAUCAGACCCACGUGACCACAGAGCUAGCUCCGUGGAAAGGCCUCAGUAGAGCCUCAUUCUGGCCUGGAAACUGUUCCUGGAUUUUGAGUCUCCGUGUUUGUGUAUUCUUUUUUGUAUAUUAUUUGUGCAAUUGUUGGACAACAUGACUUGCUGUGGUAUUAAUUGCACUAAUAGAGCAUCCAAGGAGUCUCCACUUCAUUUUCUUCGGUAAGUAAAAUUAUAUUUAUGUAUUUUAGGUCACUGCCGAGCUGAGCUUAGAUUUUAACAUGUACUGUUUAACCCAUCGACGUAAAUAUACAUGGACAUCUUCUUUCCAUAGGCUCCAAUAUCACUUUUUUGAGUCCAAAUGGGAGGUGGCCACCACCGCCAUUUUGACCGUGUUACAGGUUCCGUCAAGCCCAGACAAUUCCAUAAAAGGGAAGAGAGGAGGAGCUGAGGUUGGGGCUGUAAGGCUGGGAUCAACAGACGACACCCGGUCGAACUAGCUACAAGCUAACCUAAAGCUAACCCAAAGCUAACGCGGAGGUGGGAGCCGAGCUAACGGAUGUAGCCACCUAGCUACAACCGGAGCUAACUCUGUGGAACACCCAUCGACCGCAUGGAGUUCAGGUGGAGGUUUGCAGUGCUUUUUCAUGACAAGUACCUUUCUGUGAAUAAAAAAUAUUAAAUCGGUAAGUUUAUAAGUUAUUUCCGUAAUGAAAAUAUAUUUUGCUUUGAGCAAGUUUUCACUAUUUAUCACGUACCGUAUUUUCAGGACUAUUAAGUCGCUCCUGAGUCGCACCAGUCAUUAAAUGUUUAAUGAAGAAGAAAAAAACAUACAUAAGUCGUAUUUUGGGGGGAAAUUUUUGUUUUCUUACAAAAUCUGAGGCAAAGCGUUUCACAUUGCAAGACAAGUACCGGUAACAAUAACCGAAUAAUGCGCCGCAGCAGCGCGCCACGGUCUCCAGCAGAGGAAGGGGGUGUUUGAAACCCUCCCAGCGGGACAGGGGAACUCAUUCUUGGGUCGGAGUCGGCCCGCAGCAGCGCGGUGUAGCCUACAUGUUUUGUUAUAUAAGUCGCUCCGUAGUAGCAGGACCGGCCAGACUAUGAAAAAAAGUGCGAUUUAUAGUCCGGAAAAUACGGUAGUUAUUAAUAUUUGAGAUAAAUUAGCAGGCUAAAUACAUUUCAUAUAUUUCCAAAACGUAAUACUUGUUUGCAUCUUGUACAGCCAAGUAGCCUUUAUUCUGGACUCAGUACAAUUCACCAAAAGUAAAGAGACAUUAUACAGAUGAAGUAAGCACAAGAUAACUUACUGGAAGAAACAGAAUUAUUAUCAUGAGAACCAGAACAAGACAGCCUGAUAACAGUCAUGUGAAAAUAACAGUUAAAAAGUAUGUAUGUGUAAUAGAAAUAAAAAUAUAUUAGAAUUAGUGUAACUCACUGUGAUCCAAACAAUAAAUCAGCCAUAGCUGAUUAGCAAUCAUGAAAUGAGGUCUGGGAGUUUUUAAGUUUCAUUCUUUUAUUACAUUUUUUCUCAGAUCUGUUAAAAGGUCACCAUGGCAGCCUGUGUCUCCAACAUCAGCUACACAACGCAGCAAGUCCAUUUGGAUCAUCGGUGACAGCUGAGUGAGGCGUGGUGCCCAGAGAGCAGCAGAGACCCUCUGAGACAACCUUGGCCUCCCUGAAGUCCGUGUCUCCUGGUUCGGUUGGGGCGGACUGAGGUGGAAAUACCUUCUCCCCUUCUUUUUCAACUCCAUGCAUGGAAGAGCAGCUCCUGAUGUCUGGUGAACAUGAAGAAGGACCUGCACCGGCUUCACCUUCUACACCCUUAUAUCACACUGUUGAGAACUGUUCUUCCUUCACAACCCGAUGUUCCACUCACUCUGCAGCUCUCUGGGCCCCUUUUAUUAUUUUAAGUAUUUUUUAAAUGUCCCGACACUUUGUGUCCUGUUAUUUUAUAAAAUGUGACGUAAAAAAAUAAAUGUUUUUGCUCAA